UGGGGAAUCUUCGGCAAUGGGGGCAACCCUGACCGAGCAACGCCGCGUGAGUGAAGAAGGUCUUCGGAUCGUAAAACUCUGUUGUUAGAGAAGAACACGAGUGAGAGUAACUGUUCAUUCGAUGACGGUAUCUAACCAGCAAGUCACGGCUAACUACGUGCCAG
rnacentral:rRNA from 1 species